UCAAAGAUGAACACGAAGCAGGAAAAUCCCAGCUUCUCCUCACCUGCCAGACUAUGAAAACAAUCCCAUGGGCUGAAGUAUCUGCAGAAUAAACUAGAGUGGGAAAGUUAAUAGCUUACAGCUGAAGUCCUUCUCUUGCAAGAUUCCCAGCUGCUGGAAGUGAGUUUACUAGGGAACGAAGCAGUCAGGGAUCGAAAACUUAUUUUGGAUGCUUGUCAGCUUUCAGAAUAAUACCAAAACGCUGGAGGUCUGCAGCAUCUUUCACCUCAGGAUCUCACCCACCUGGGACGCUUGAUGGGCUCCCUCCAGAAAACAGCUGUCUGCCUCCUGUUCCUGUCCGUUUUCUUUAGUGCCUCCAACAGCACAUUUGCAACCUUCAACUGCAAUGCUGUCAAGAUAGAAUAUAAAAAAACAGCAGUAAUUUCAUGCAUUGGCAACAUGAAGAUUACAAACAUGGUAGUUAAGCGCUGUGAAAGGUGUAAUAAACAGAACUCGUGCUUAGAAACUAUUAUUAACACGUGGAGAGGAAACUAUUCCAGUGAAAAGGGAAGAAUUCGGUUGGUGCUACAACACAACGUUUCUGAAGUGCACAUACAGGAAGUUAAAGCAACUGAUCAAGGAGGUUAUAAAUGGCAUCUUUAUUCUGACAACGGCGAACGCGAUGGAUGUACCAACCUUGAGAUUACAGAUCCAGAAAUUGAGCCUAGCCUCAUCUGGAACGGAAGAAAGCUCGCCUGCCUGUCACCUAUAGGGCAUCGACAAAGGCAGGUCCAUUGGUUCGAUGGCCACGGGAAUAACCUGACAGGCAAUGCAAGCCUGGUAUCUGAGGAAGCAGAAGGUGGCUUAACCAGCCUUACCAGCACUCUCCAUGAGAAACCCUACUUAACUGCCUCCGAGUAUUGCUGCACUGUGCUGUAUGAUGUGCACACCAAGAGAAACAAAACCAAAUGCCUUAGUGCCCACAAAGCAGUCGCCGAUUACCUUCAUUUCACUUCAACCUCAGAUCAGGAAAUUCCGAAGACCAUGAAAGAGCACAUUCCCAUCAUUCUGGUGCUCCUUGUUCUGGUUCUCUGCUGUUUUGCAGCUGUUCUAUACUACAGGCAUCGCCAGCGAGCAACAGCAAAAGGGAAUUUUGCAGACCUAUUAAGGACCCUCCUUCCACUUUUGAGACAAAAUGAAAAAGCAAAAGAAAAUGCACCUAACCAAGAAGUGUGAUGUGUGAAAACAAGAUGCCCCCUCAAUGAAAACGAUGAUCCAGCCUGCACCAAUGCAACUAAAUUUAAGCAAAGCAGUAGAUACAGAAACUCAGUCAUUCAGAACAUACACGCUAAGCAAUCCAACAGUGUGAAGCAACUAGCAUUUUAAAGACUUUUUUUUGUCAGACAUCCUGUUUUGCAGACAAGGGGCUACAUUCUCCUCUCAGUUUCACUGGUGUAACUCAGUGGAAAAUGUGGUCUGAUAAUCUGAGCAGCGUUCUUUCCCUCCCUGAAACACUGAUGCUUUAAGGCCAUAUUUUCACCACUUUUGAUGGAAUCAAAGCUUUGUUUCCUACCUUAAUAGUCAGCCCUUUAGGAUGGGCUAAUAGGGCGGCUACACGUAUGGAGCAUUUUAUCCCCUGCAUUAUGUAGCAUUAUUAACCUGCUGCCAUCAGGACAGAAGCGCAGUGCACGAUCACAAAGACUUUGUGGUGUGAGUGUCAAUCUAAUUCACCAAGCAAAUGCUGUAUUGUGAAGGGACUGUGGAACUGGGAAACAGCCCUUGACUCAGCACCAACUUCAAUUACUUGCAAGAGAUUGAGUCAGGUCAGCAAUGAGCACUGGGUGUGCUGAUACCUCAGUGUCUCAGGCUCUUGCUGUGUAACCAAACCAGCUGGAGCCGGCUCUACUUGUGGGUCCAGCAAACCAUCUGGACAGAAUACAGAGACCAUGUGGAAUUUUCAGCCCCACGUGCAGCAACGUCUUCACAUCCUUGCCUACAUGUGACAAGAGCCCAGAGUCCUGGCAACACUGUCUGCUAGGAUUUAGGAGGAUGGCGUGAUGGGUUCCCUCUAGUGUGCUAAUUGGAACUGGGGUAACACUGAGCCUGCCUGACCCAUCAGCCUGGUAUCCCUUUACACUGUACUGCUGUGACAGGCUCUCAAGCCCCCCUCCAGCACACAUACAGGUAGGGACGCACUCAGCUACAGCUUCACGCAGAUGCUGAGAUCAGCUCUGCAUGGGAAGACUCAGCUAAGAAACUGCUCAGUUACUCAAGGGCACCCCCUCUUUGAAGGGUAAAUCCAAAAUUAUACCAUCUUGCAUUGCACCGGAAACUAUACAGUGUAAGCUCAUGAAAUUCACCCCCUCCCUCAAUGUGGAGGAAGAUAUGCAACAGCUUUCUGCUCCCAGUUAGGAUUUCCACACACUGGUUUUAGACUAAACAAAAACAAGUUUAUUAACUACAAAAGGUAGAUUUUCAAUGAUUAUAAGGGACAGCAAACAGAUCAACGCAGAUUAUCUAGCAAAUAAACAAAAAAUGCAAACUGAGCUUAACAUAUUAGAUAGGUAAGAUAUGAAUUAGCAAAGUUUCAUCCUGUGUGAUAAAUAGGCUGGCAGAUUCUUAAGGCACAAGCUGCCUUGGCUUCACAGCUUGGCUUUCCCAGGUUGUCACACACAGACUAGCAAUCCCUUAGCCUGGGACCAUCACUUCCCACAGUUCAGUUCUUGUUCCUCAGAUGUUUCCAGGUGUGUUAUUGUAGGGAGAGUGAGGUAACAUCAUGCUGUCAUUUCCCCCUUUUAUAUCUUCUUCCCACUUGCUGGAAAGCUCUUUUGUUGUGCCAUAGGUCAAACAGUUCCCAUUGUGUAGUGCUAUCUCUGAGAGGUUUCUAUUGUACACUGUUCCUGGGGUAAUCCUUGCAUGUGUGCAUUUCCUCAAUAAGCCAUUAACAUUGUUUGGCCUUUUUAUUGUUGUGCCUGAAAGGCUGCUGUGGGUGUUUUCAACCUCACAACGUUUCAGGCACACACACAUGGCCAAACUUUAUAACUUCACAUACGAUGAUAGCACAUAGAAUCCAAUGAGAUAUUAAUGUCUAGCAGAUCAAGACUUUUAGAAUGAUACCUCACAAGGCAUACUUUGUACAAAACAUGUCCUAAUUACAUGACAGUGGUCAAUAUGGGGGUACCAGGGUGUGUCAGAGGGAUACACUUCUGUCACCCAUACACACUUUAGAGGUGAAUUUCCCCAUGUGGAGGACCAGUGUGAGGUCUAUGCACCCUGAAGUCUUCAAAAGAGGUCUUCAAUGGGAUUUAAGUGGGGCAGAGGCCUAGGCUGGCCAUCAGCACUGGGGGAUUUCAUACCAUCUGCACAUAAGCUAGUAUUUUCAUAAAGACCAAGGUACCCAGCUCCUCUUGAAUUUCAGUGGAAUCCUGAGCCCCACCCCCUCCCGAAAAUGCAAGCCAAGGAGCGUGUGAGCAUUUGGCCUACGGGUUAAUUUAAAAAAUGAGAAGCUGCCAAAAGGACCCUUCCUCUUCCACAUAGCCAGGAAUAAAGGCAAAAUGAGAUGAGUGCCACAGUCAUUUUUGAAAAUGGAACUUAGCUUUUGUAUCACUCAGCAUUGCAAGUUGUAAGGGAUUUAGAAGGCUAAAUACCUUUAAAAAUCUGGACUUACAUGCACAAAAGAUAGGACUAGGAUUCACCCCACCCUUGAUCAUGUUUUUUGUCCAUUUCUGAACUUUUUCCAGUUCCACUGUAUCCUUUUUGAAAUGGAGUGACAAGAACUAGACACAGUACUGAAGGCAUGAACAUCGUGGAUUUAUAUGAUGGCAUUACGGUAUUUUCUGUCUUAUUGUCUCUCUCUUUCCUAAUAGUUCCUAACAUACUGUUGAGCUUUUUGACCACUGCUGUGCAUUGAACAGAAGUUUUCAGCAAACUAUCCAUGGUGACUCCAAGAUCUCGUUCUUGGGCGAUAACAGCUAACUCCGAACCAGCAUUGUGUUUAUAUAGUUGGGAUUAUUUUUUCCUGUGCCUUACUUUUCACUUAUCAACGUUGAAUUAUGUGUAUUAUUUCAGGCAUACUUAAAUCUACUCUUCUACCAUGAUUACUGAUUCUCUGAAAUAUUGCUCUGCCCAGUGUUCAAAGAGAGGAAAGCGUAGCAAAGCUUGUGAUGAAAUUGCGUGAUAUGCCACAUUCACCAUUAAUUAAAGACUUGUUUAAUCUACCACAUGGUCUUCUGCCCUCACAGUGUCCGCUGUGGAUAAAUUAACUGGGUGAGGGAUUUACAGUAGAGGACACACGGUGAGCUUCAUGGUCCGCAGAGAAAGUGAAAAAUAAUUAUCUUGACUCAGACCCCACUCAAUAUCAACCUGGGUUUGACUGACUGCGAAAAAAUGGAAGCUUCUGAACAGGUUUCGUACCAGACAUGGAAUUUGUGCUGCAGCAGAAUUUCAUUAGCAUUUUAGAGACAGUCCACUAUGACAGUGUGAGCAGCCACAAACCAUGACACAUAUUGUUGAGGAUGAAAAAUGACUCACCUUCCUUGAGGUCUUUGUGCUUUGAACGUCAUUGAUAAGACUACUGUGGCUUAUCUUGACCGAAUUGCAUAUGUCAAAUAUAUAAACACUGAAUUUCAACUGCCACUUUGUUGCCCAGACUCAGUUUUGUGAAAUCCCCUCACAGUCCUCUUUGGACUUACAAAAUUAUUCAAGCUAGUUUUCAUCUGAAAAUUUUGCCACUUCACU